AGGGCCUUUAUGUUAAUUAACGGGUCUCUUAUACCAAAGUAAAAAUAACAAAAGACCCGUCAUUUAAGAUAUCGGGUCUCUAUUUUUAUUCAUUUCCCAGCGCCAAACUUUCGCAGAACCCAAUUUCACCCUAGCUAGUUGUCUUCGCCCUUUUCUUCUUCUUCUUCUUCUUCUUCUUCUUCUUCUUCUUCUUCCCUGGAUAUACAAACCAGUAGGGCAAGAAAUCUGUUCGCGAACUCUUCACGAACUCACCACCACGGGCGAAUCUACAACCGAAUAAAUACUUUACGGUUGACGACUUCACUACCACCGGCGACCUCAACACAAUCUCUAGCGAACUACAUAUUUAGCUUUCUCAAGAAACCUAUUCGUCGGAAAAUGUUGACGAGGUUAGAGACUUGUGGGUCGAGUAUUUUCUCAAGCCAGAUGAAGAAAACAAAGAUGAUGGUGUGGAAAUAACUCCAUGAGUUUUGGUUCUAAUAUUGGUAAAUUGAUGUGGAUGAUUAGAUUUUAGAACUUUUUGUUUUACGUUUUUGGAAAUUACGAUGUCAAGGUUUUACGUUAAUGAAAAUUACAAUUAAUGUAUAACGGUUGCGUUUUGAGCAUUACUUCUGGGAAUAUAUUUUUUGGUAACAUUAUGGACUA